rnacentral:rRNA from 1 species
UUUUUGUAUUACGACUAAAGGACCCGAAUUUAGGUGAUCCAAAAUUUUUUUUUUUCCUCGUAAUAAAGAGGAUUUAAAAUAAAAAGUUCUAAAAAAGAAAAUCGGACCUAAAAAACUGGUAUUGAUCAAUUCAGGAAGUAAACAAAAAUCACAAUAUCAAAGAGGAUAUGAAUAGGAAAAAAUUAAUUUCAAAAAUUUUGAAAAAAAUUUGGAAAAAAAGGAAUAUAGAUCAAUUUCAAAAAUAAUCUUUAGAGAAAAAAUUUAUUUAAAAGAAUUCAAAACAGCAGUCCCCGACUGUUUAACAAAAACAUUUCUUCUAUAAAAGAUUAGAAGUAGGCCCUGCUCACAUAAAAAAUUAAAAAAGCCAAAUCUUUGCUAAGGUAGCAUAAUUACUAGCCGCUUAAUUGGCGGAUUGUCUGAAUGGGUUAACGCGGGAAAAAUUUUCUAUAAAUAUAGUAAAAUAAGUUGGAUGUUAAAUCUCAUCCAAAAUAUAAAAAGACGAUAAGACCCUUUAAUCUUUGUUAUAUCAUAAAAUAAUUGUUGGGGCAACAGAGAAUAUAAUUUUCUUUUUCUGAAAUAAUACUAUUUUAAUAAUAGGAAAGAUACUAAAGGGAUAACAGCAUAAUAUUUUCAUAGAAGACCAAAUUCUAAGAAAAGAGUAUGACCUCGAUGUUGAACCAGAGAAAAU